UGGUUCAAAUAUUACAAUAUAUAAAGUAUAAUGUUAAUGAACUUCAUCAAAACUUAAUUUUUUUUUUAUUUUCAUGUUUGUGUUCAGAAUCAUAAUGGGCAUAACAUAAUUAAUUCUAGUAGGAACUGUUCAUGCAGAAUAUUUUAUGGGGCACAUAUUGGUGACGCACAUUAAAACUCGUGCGAUGUGCGAACAGCGCCAUCUUUAGAAGCACAUUUGCUGUUGGCGAGGUCGGUUGUGCUUUCUCUCGCUCUUCAAAAGAGAGUGCUGCUUUCUCCAUGCUGUAUGGAUGAAUCGAAGGGGAGAGACGUGUAUUCCAAAAAAAUUAAUUGUGCUCUGUGUGUUUCUGCAGGUAUGUUCCUUGUUUGUGUUAUAUGUUGAGAAAUGUUUGAAAUGUGUUUACUAUCGAGUUUAUAUGAGUUUGAUAGAUACAAAAAAAAGAGUGAGGUCUGUAUGCAAACUAGAUGUUGUCAAAUUGGAUUUUUUCCCCCAAUUUUAUUGUGUAAAAUUUGGAACUUCUGACAUUUUUCCCUAUUUAAUUAAUUCAAUGAUGCGAGUAAGCAGUGAGGAAACUAUAUUUCUUUUUUUUAUAUAUAUUAUUUCAUAUGCGAUAUAAUGGUGACAUGUAUUUUGUGACUUGCUUUAUUUAUUUAUUUUACCUUAAUUACUUAAUUUAUUUGAUUUAUCCUGUUUGUCUUAUGUUUUGUAACUGUUAAUUGAGUAAAUUGCCAUCUUUAGAAGCACAUUUGCUGUUGGCGAGGUCGGUUGUGCUUUCUCUCGCUCUUCAAAAGAGAGUGCUGCUUUCUCUAUGCUGUAUGGAUGAACCGAAGGGGAGAGACGUGUAUUCCAAAAAAAUUAAUUGUGUUCUGUGUGUUUCUGCAGACCUGCUUCUUCAGAAUAAAACAUCCUGAGACCUGCUCCA